rnacentral:ncRNA from 2 species
GUGAUUUCUGCCCAGUGCU